GCUCAUGGCUCAGUUGGUAGAGCAUGAGACUCUUAAUCUCAAGGUUGUGGGCUUAAGCCCGAAGUUGGGCA
rnacentral:tRNA from 1 species